CGAGCGCAACCCUUGUCCUUAGUUACCAGCACGUUAUGGUGGGCACUCUAAGGAGACUGCCGGUGACAAACCGGAGGAAGGUGGGGAUGACGUCAAGUCAUCAUGGCCCUUACGGCCUGGGCUACACACGUGCUACAAUGGUCGGUACAAAGGGUUGCCAAGCCGCGAGGUGGAGCUAAUCCCAUAAAACCGAUCGUAGUCCGGAUCGCAGUCUGCAACUCGACUGCGUGAAGUCGGAAUCGCUAGUAAUCGUGAAUCAGAAUGUCACGGUGAAUACGUUCCCGGGCCUU
rnacentral:rRNA from 2 species